rnacentral:rRNA from 1 species
GACGAACGCUGGCGGCGUGCUUAACACAUGCAAGUCGAACGGAAAGGCCCUGCUUUUGUGGGGUGCUCGAGUGGCGAACGGGUGAGUAACACGUGAGUAACCUGCCCUUGACUUUGGGAUAACUUCAGGAAACUGGGGCUAAUACCGGAUAGGAGCUCCUGCUGCAUGGUGGGGGUUGGACAGCUUCGGCGGUUGGGGCUGGACUGGCGGCUUAUCAGCUUGUUGGUGGGGUAGUGGCUUACCAAGGCUUUGACGGGUAGCCGGCCUGAGAGGGUGACCGGCCACAUUGGGACUGAGAUACGGCCCAGACUCCUACGGGAGGCAGCAGUGGGGAAUAUUGCACAAUGGGCGGAAGCCUGAUGCAGCAACGCCGCGUGCGGGAUGACGGCCUUCGGGUUGUAAACCGCUUUCGCCUGUGACGAAGCGUGAGUGACGGUAAUGGGUAAAGAAGCACCGGCUAACUACGUG